UACAGAGGGUGCGAGCGUUGCUCGGAAUUAUUGGGCGUAAAGGGCGCGUAGGCGGUGCGGUAAGUCACCUGUGAAAUCUCCUGGCUCAACUGGGAGCUUGCAGGCGAAACUGCCGUGCUGGAGUGUGGGAGAGGUGCGUGGAAUUCCUGGUGUAGCGGUGAAAUGCGUAGAUAUCAGGAGGAACACCUGUGGCGAAAGCGGCGCACUGGACCACAACUGACGCUGAGGCGCGAAAGCUAGGGGAGCAAACAGG
rnacentral:rRNA from 1 species